GUAUGCAAAUGUGGGGUCGGACAGACGGGCAGACAUAGACCAUUACCAUAUCCCAUUCACUUUAUGGCGACGUAUAUAUGUAAAGUCCAGGUCACAAAUCAACAUUCAAAUGUCAUGAACAACACGGGCAUCCAUCUCGGUAGAACCAUCAGUUAUAGCAAAACUAUACUAGUUUCAGGACUUUGAAUGGCCCAAUCUAGGUGUUUGAUAAGAAUAAUAACAUUUUCACAAUUUACAAAAAGGGAUGGAGUUCUGACUGAAAUUGAUUGCGUGUUCUAGAUAAUUUUUUAUCAACGUUUGAUGCAAAGGUGAAAAAACAUAUCAUCCGAGUUCUUUUAGCAAGCCCUUCCUGAUGGUUCUUUUUUGCUUUAGACCUCGUAUAUAUAUGGCAUUAGUUCGUAAUUAGAUAAUUUCUUAUCGGAGUCACAGGUUGAUAAGCAGUAUACACUGAAAAGUUUUGUAUAAACUUUCGAUACAGUCGCAUAGUUGUAAAUAAGAUGGCUUCUCUCUAUAUAUAUUGCUUACAGUUUAUUUUUCUUUCACUUCUGUCUUCGAGGAUUUCCGGCUCUGUCAUUAAACAAACGCAUGUGAGUACGGAAAAUGUAACAGCACAGUUCUGUCCCUACAUGUGCACCAUUGCAGACCACACUUUCUGCUACCCACCACCAUGUCCUCCACCGCCUUGCGGGGAUCCAGCUAAAUACCAACCAAUGGAUUGCUGUGACUGGUGCCCUAAUGGUGAAAACUGUCCGGCUUCAGAUGGAAGCAUGAUACCGCUUCACCACUGGAAAAUUGUGCAAGGCAAAAACUGCACGUGCAAAUAUGCUCCGACAUAUCUGGUGUGCGUUUGAGAUGUGCUGUUUGGACUGAGUUUAUUUGCACAAACUGUCUAUUGUAAACAUUUGUCAUCUUUUCAUCACCUAAUUUGUUAUUAACUACAUUUACGUGUAUGUAAAACUCAUGAUAAAAGUCUGUAGAUAGUUACCAAGUGCAUGCUAUUAAAAGUGAAAGUUGUUCCUACAAAGGAUAUGUUAAUAUGUAGAGCAACUUGAUACGUUUCAGCGCAUGCGCACGUGUUAGCUUUCUCGUUCGCUCGUACAUCGCGUGCAGAUGCGAAGAAAACAUAUUCUCCACGUCCCUGCUUAAAUCGUUAGCUGAACAUUGGGUCUGCAAUGGCGAUAUCGUUGUCAGUACUCUUGGAUUAUUUUGUUAUAGAGCUCUAAAAUACCAGCACUUGAUUAGCUGAUUUUGAGCAUGGUCUUAAAAUGGCAAAAAUGCAUUUAGAGGCUGGCUUUGAUAUCUGUGGAGCUGACCAAUGUGGAAUACUAGUAGGUCAACAUUCAUUGCAAAUUAUCAUAAAGGUUAUCAGCUUAAACAUAUAUAUUCUUAUCUUGGUAACCUACAAACACGUCCUAAAACCCAGCCUUUGGAACAUAAAGUAAAAACUAUGGCAAAACACAUCACUAGUGUAUUAGUGUGCUUCUUUUACAUGGAACUUUCUUUGUUUUUAUUGUCAACCGCUGUUGAAGAAAGCGAAUUACCGACAGUAAGUACAAAGAAUAUAACAGCGCACUACUGUCCGUUCCCAUGCACUGUGGGUAAUCAGACAUUAUGUUACCCUCCUCCAUGUCCACCACCGGGUUGCAUUGAUCCGGCAAAGUACAAACCCACUGACUGCUGCGACUACUGUCCAAAUGGUCCGAACUGCAGAGGUCCUAAUGGGCGUCCUAUACGAUGGAACCAUUGGAAAAUAGUUGACGGGCAAAACUGUACAUGUAAAGAUGUAGCGCACGAUGCUACGUGUGUGUGAAAUAUAUUAAAUACUUACCUGUUAUUCUUUGACCAAAUAAAUACGCUCUAGCAAACAAC